rnacentral:rRNA from 1 species
GAUAAACGCUGGCGGCGUGCUUAACACAUGCAAGUCGAACGGAGUGGUUCUCCCGAAGACCUGAAGAGCUUGCUCAGAUGGAAUUCAUUUGAAUCACUUAGUGGCGGACGGGUGAGUAACGCGUGGGUAACCUGCCCUAUACUGGGGGAUAGCAGUUGGAAACGACUGAUAAUACCGCAUAAGCGCACAAUACUGCAUGGUAUAGUGUGAAAAACUCCGGUGGUAUAGGAUGGACCCGCGUCUGAUUAGCUAGUUGGUGAGGUAACGGCCCACCAAGGCGACGAUCAGUAGCCGGCCUGAGAGGGUGUACGGCCACAUUGGGACUGAGACACGGCCCAAACUCC